rnacentral:rRNA from 1 species
GAUGAACGCUGGCGGCGUGCCUAAUACAUGCAAGUCGAGCGAACGGACGAGAAGCUUGCUUCUCUGAUGUUAGCGGCGGACGGGUGAGUAACACGUGGAUAACCUACCUAUAAGACUGGGAUAACUUCGGGAAACCGGAGCUAAUACCGGAUAAUAUUUUGAACCGCAUGGUUCAAAAGUGAAAGACGGUCUUGCUGUCACUUAUAGAUGGAUCCGCGCUGCAUUAGCUAGUUGGUAAGGUAACGGCUUACCAAGGCAACGAUGCAUAGCCGACGUGAGAGGGUGAUCGGCCACACUGGAACUGAGACACGGUCCAGACUCCUACGGGAGGCAGCAGUAGGGAAUCUUCCGCAAUGGGCGAAAGCCUGACGGAGCAACGCCGCGUGAGUGAUGGAGGUCUUCGGAUCGUAAAACUCUGUUAUUAGGGAAGAACAUAUGUGUAAGUAACUGUGCACAGCUUGACGGUACCUAAUCAGAAAGCCACGGCUAACUACGUG